ACCGACAGCAAUAUGAAGGCCAGGCUGAAGACUUUGCCGGAUUAGCUGAGAGGUGGUGCAUGGCCGUCGUCAGUUCGUACUGUGAAGCAUCCUGUUAAGUCAGGCAACGAGCGAGACCCACGCCCACAGUUGCCAGCGUACUCUCUGGAGUGACGGGUACACUGUGGGACCGCCGCUGCUAAAGCGGAGGAAGGAAUGGGCAACGGUAGGUCAGUAUGCCCCGAAUAUCCCGGGCUACACGCGAGCUACAAUGGUUGGUACAAUGGGUAUCUACCCCGAAAGGGGACGGGAAUCUCCUAAAACCAAUCUUAGUUCGGAUUGAGGGCUGCAACUCGCCCUCAUGAAGCUGGAAUCCGUAGUAAUCGCGUUUCAACAGAACGCGGUGAAUACGUCCCUGCUCCUU
rnacentral:rRNA from 1 species